CCUACGGGAGGCAGCAGUGAGGAAUAUUGGUCAAUGGACGAGAGUCUGAACCAGCCAAGUAGCGUGAAGGAUGACGGCCCUAUGGGUUGUAAACUUCUUUUAUAUGGGAAUAAAAUGUGCCACGUGUGGGAUUUUGUAUGUACCAUAUGAAUAAGGAUCGGCUAACUCCGUGCCAGCAGCCGCGGUAAUACGGAGGAUACGAGCGUUAUCCGGCUUUAUUGGGGUUAAAGGGAGCGUAGGGGGAUUGUUAAGUCAGUUGUGAAAGUUUGCGGCUCAACCGUAAAAUUGCAGUUGAAACUGGCAGUCUUGAGUACAGUAGCGGUGGGCUGACUUCGUGGUGUAGCGG
rnacentral:rRNA from 1 species